rnacentral:tRNA from 1 species
CGGGUAGCUCAGUUGGUAGAGCAAAGGACUGAAAAUCCUUGUGUCGGCGGUUCGAAACCGUCCCCG